rnacentral:rRNA from 1 species
AAAACGACUCUCGGCAACGGAUAUCUCGGCUCUCGCAUCGAUGAAGAACGUAGCGAAAUGCGAUACUUGGUGUGAAUUGCAGAAUCCCGUGAACCAUCGAGUCUUUGAACGCAAGUUGCGCCCCAAGCCGUUAGGCCGAGGGCACGUCUGCCUGGGUGUCAC